rnacentral:rRNA from 1 species
GUAGGGAAUAUUGGGCAAUGGUCGGAAGACUGACCCAGCCAUGCCGCGUGCAGGAAGACGGCCCUCUGGGUUGUAAACUGCUUUUAUCUGGGAAGAAAAAGGCCAUGCGUGGCAAAUUGCCGGUACCAGAUGAAUAAGCACCGGCUAACUCCGUGCCAGCAGCCGCGGUAAUACGGAGGGUGCAAGCGUUGUCCGGAUUUAUUGGGUUUAAAGGGUGCGUAGGCGGCUGAUUAAGUCAGCGGUGAAAGACUCCGGCUUAACCGGAGCAGUGCCGUUGAUACUGGUUAGCUUGAGUGUUGGAGGGGUACAUGGAAUUGAUGGUGUAGCGGUGAAAUGCAUAGAUACCAUCAGGAACACCGAUAGCGAAGGCAUUGUACUGGCCAACAACUGACGCUGAUGCACGAAAGUGUGGGGAUCGAACAGGAUUAGAAACCCGAGUAGUCC